AUGCUAGUCGCACGAGUUCAGACUCGUGGCGAAUAGCUCAGUAACACGUGGCCAAACUACCCUUCGGAACACAAUACCCUCGGGAAACUGAGGCUAAUAGUGUAUACCAUACCACCACUGGAAUGAGUGGUAUGCUAAACGCUCCGGCGCCGAAGGAUGUGGCUGCGGCCGAUUAGGUAGACGGUGGGGUAACGGCCCACCGUGCCAAUAAUCGGUAUGGGUCAUGAGAGUGAGAACCCAGAGACGGAAUCUGAGACAAGAUUCCGGGCCCUACGGGGCGCAGCAGGCGCGAAACCUUUACACUGCACGACAGUGCGAUAGGGGGAUCCCAAGUGCACAGGCAUAGCGCCUGUGCUUUUCGGUACCCUAAGGCGGUACCAGAAUAAGGGCUGGGCAAGACCGGUGCCAGCCGCCGCGGUAAUACCGGCAGCCCAAGUGAUGGCCGAUCUUAUUGGGCCUAAAGCGUCCGUAGCUGGCCGCGCAAGUCCAUCGGGAAAUCCACCUGCUCAACAGGUGGGCGCCCGGUAGAAACUGCGUGGCUUGGG
rnacentral:rRNA from 1 species